AUUGAACGCUGGCGGCAGGCCUAACACAUGCCAGUCGAGCGAGCGGCGGACGGGUGAGUAAUGUCUGGGAAACUGCCUGAUGGAGGGCGAUAACUACUGGAAACGGUAGCUAAUCCCGCAUACCAUCAGAUGUGCCCAGAUGGGUUUAGCUAGUAGGGGGGGUAAUGGCCCACCUAGGCGAAGAUCCCUAGCUGGUCUGAGAGGAUGACCAGCCACACUGGAACUGAGACACGGUCCAGACUCCGACGGGAGGCAGCAGUGGGGAAUAUGGCGCAAUGGGCGCAAGCCUGAUGCAGCCAUGCCGCGGUUGUGAAGAAGGCCUUCGGGGUGUAAAGCACUUUCAGCUGGGAGGCGUUACCCGCAGAAGAAGCACCGGCUAACUCCGUGCCAGCAGCCGCGGUAAUAC
rnacentral:rRNA from 1 species